GGAAAGGUGCCAGAGCGGUUGAAUGGGGCGGUCUCGAAAACCGUUGACCUGAAAAGGUCCCAGGGUUCGAAUCCCUGCCUUUCCGCCA
rnacentral:tRNA from 1 species